GACGAACGCUGGCGGCGUGCCUAAUACAUGCAAGUCGAGCGGACUUUCAAGAAGCUUGCUUUUUGAAAGUUAGCGGCGGACGGGUGAGUAACACGUGGGCAACCUGCCUGCAAGACGGGGAUAACUCCGGGAAACCGGGGCUAAUACCGGAUAAUAUCUUCCUUCGCAUGAAGGAAGGUUGAAAGGCGGCGCAAGCUGCCGCUUGCAGAUGGGCCCGCGGCGCAUUAGCUAGUUGGUGAGGUAACGGCUCACCAAGGCGACGAUGCGUAGCCGACCUGAGAGGGUGAUCGGCCACACUGGGACUGAGACACGGCCCAGACUCCUACGGGAGGCAGCAGUAGGGAAUCUUCCGCAAUGGACGAAAGUCUGACGGAGCAACGCCGCGUGAGCGAAGAAGGUCUUCGGAUCGUAAAGCUCCGUUGUCAGGGAAGAACAAGUACCGUUCGAACAGGGCGGUACCUUGACGGUACCUGACCAGAAAGCCACGGCUAACUACGUG
rnacentral:rRNA from 1 species